rnacentral:rRNA from 1 species
AUGGAGGCGAGCAAGGGAAGCGAUGGGAGCUCGGGCGCCUCGGCGAGCAACGAUGACAGCACGGUGGAGGAGGAAGGAGCGGGCCGUGAAUCGCACGAGGACGUCUGCAGGGGGAACUCUUUGUCGUCCUCGUCGGUGCGCCCCUACGUUCGCUCCAAGAACCCGCGCCUCCGCUGGACGCCGGAGCUCCACCACUGCUUCGUCCGUGCCAUUCAUAGGCUCGGCGGCCAAGAUCGUGCAACUCCGAAGCUCGUUCUUCAGUUGAUGAACGUCAGAGGGCUUAGCAUAGGCCAUGUCAAGAGCCACCUCCAGAUGUAUAGGAGUAAGAAGAUUGAUGACUCAGGCCAGGUCAUAGGUCAUCUCCCCUUGCCCCAUGCCUUCCAUCAUCGCCAGAGUGGUGCGGGCACCAUGUCGUCAAGGUUUGGUGCUGCUGCAUGGCCUCCAUGGAGAAGCUUCCAUGAACCAUACUGGGCCCAUGGUCGCCCCUUCCUUGGAUCGAGGACCUACAACUCUUUAGAAGCUGAAACCGAGGCGGCUUUCCUUCGGUCCCGAGCUCAACAUGUAGCUCGAGCUGCAUCUAGCAAUCCAGGAUUGAUGAUGCAAUCAGGCUGUGCAUCUCUGAACGAUCAUCAUACCAUGAACCACCAGCAUAAACGACUGCUGCAACCGACAGUGCGUAAUGACGACGAUACCCAUGUUCCUCUUGAUCUUGAUCUCGAUCUCGAUCUCUCGCUCGGUCUCCCCGUGCCGAGGAAGGAGGCGAAGUGGAAGAGAUCGGGCUGCAGCUGGGUGAAAGAAGGCCCUGAUGAGAAUGGAGCCGAUGAAGAACAAGUGGAUGAGAUCAGCACUGCCACUAUGCUAUCUCUGUCCUUGUUCUCUCCUGGGGAUGCUCCUCGGAUGAUGAGUAGUACUAGUGCUAGUGAUCGUGCAGUAAAUGUCAGUGUGGAUAUUAAGAGAGGAGGGAAAGAUGAGCAUGCUACAAGGAGGGCAAGUACUCUUGAUCUCACCAUAUGA